UGAGGAAUAUUGGUCAAUGGACGAGAGUCUGAACCAGCCAAGUAGCGUGCAGGAUGACGGCCCUAUGGGUUGUAAACUGCUUUUAUAUGGGAAUAAAGUGAGGGACGUGUCCCUUAUUGCAUGUACCAUAUGAAUAAGGACCGGCUAAUUCCGUGCCAGCAGCCGCGGUAAUACGGAAGGUCCAGGCGUUAUCCGGAUUUAUUGGGUUUAAAGGGAGCGUAGGCUGUUUGUUAAGCGUGUUGUGAAAUGUAAGAGCUCAACUCUUAGAUUGCAGCGCGAACUGGCAGACUUGAGUGCGCACAACGUAGGCGGAAUUCAUGGUGUAGCGGUGAAAUGCUUAGAUAUCAUGACGAACUCCGAUUGCGAAGGCAGCUUACGGGAGCGCAACUGACGCUAAAGCUCGAAGGUGCGGGUAUCGAACAGG
rnacentral:rRNA from 1 species